UUGGCCCUGCUUUCCCACCAGGUGCUCCAUCACAGCUUCAUGCUGUGACUUAGCAUUACCACUACAUAAAGGCAUAUAAACUUUUAUGAAGAGGAAUUACGGAAUUUCCUGACUUACUCAGCAGAGCUUUAGAAAAUUCCAGGUUCUUGAUCUCUUACAGCAAAAUCUAAAAGAUUAAAGCCUCAUUAAAGCAACACAGUGGAUGGGAACUGCUGAUUGCAGCCUGAACUCUGAUGACCACCUGAGGCAAGCACUGAGUCAGCUGUGGGAGGCAGGUGAAGGCAAUUCAGCUGUGCUACCUGGAGGGGCUGCACCUCUGCACCCUGGCUGCACCUCUCCUGGACCCCAUUUAAGGAUGGCUGCCACUGAGGAAGGAUCUCUUCUGGAGAUUGCUCCUUGGGGAGUUCACUGGGAGUUUACAACACAGGUCUGUGAGCUUGGACCACAGGGAAACAGAGCCAUCCAUUCUGCAUUGUGUGCUGUGUGACAUGGAGUUGCAGCUGGAGUUGCUGGGAAAUGACCUUGUCUACCUGAAGUUCAGCCAGUUAUUCUAGAUAAAACACUAAACCAUAUUAUGCAUCUAAGCCGCAAUUCUGGAUUAUCUGUAACAAUUGUCUGUGCCAUACUUGAGAUGAGGUACUUUCAUCCAGUUGAUCCUGCAGGUCAGACUGGAACUAGCCUGGGAUGCAACCUCCCCAGGUAACAACUAUUUCUGACAGUGCCAAAAGCAAGUGCACUUCAUUCCCUGUCACAUUUGUGCUCACAGUUCGCAGCACUGAUGCAAACGUAGUGACUGCAUCACAAGUGUUGUGUCAAAUCCUAGAAGCCUUUCUCAGGCUUGUUUCAGCAACGUUUUUCUAGCCCCAGCAGCAAUAACAGCUCUGCAUUAUGAGGUGGAGACAUCAAUGUCACUAGCUUCAUGUUUCAAAGUAAUGUCAGCACAUCCUACUAAUCUACCUGCCUCCCGUUACAGCUGAAAGGGUGACAUUUCCCAAUGGCUUAACAAAGAUGCUAUUAUCUUUAACACUUUAAAAUACACAGCCACGCCUUACACCAAGAUAUUUAGAUUGCUAAAAUAAUAAAUAAAUAAACCAUCCAAACUGCUUAUUUUUACCUAAUACUCAAAGCUAAUUAGAGUGUGUACAGUUCUUCAGAGAUAAGGUAGAGGUUAUAUUUUGGAAACAGGCUCUCUACUUUAAAUACAUGUAGUUUAUCAUCGCUUCCUCCUUGCACUUAAUAUAGUAUUUGAUCUAAAUAUGCCUUGGUCUGCGGAGUGUUAGAAGCACUUUGAUUAAUAAAUGACACAUGGAAGUCAGAAAUAAACCAAUGAUACAAAGCAGAAGCAACCAAAAAGCUGCACAAAGAUUGCAAACAAUAUUUUUCAAGGACUGAGACCCUUCCACAAACAAAUGUAGCAAUCACUUCCAGCAACUUCAGUGAAUUCAAGUCACCACCACCCUACGAAAACACCAGAAGGCAUAGGCAGAAACACGUGUCCAUAAAAUACAGUGAGCCAUAAGAACCUGGUGAGCAUCAGUUUUGAAAGUUUCUGUGGUAGUCAGCAAAACUACAAGGACAAUUCCCAAAGUAAAUUUACAGCAGCGAGGCACCAUCAGCAAUUAACUACUUGCUUUGAUUAUGUUAUGAAAUUAUAUUGAAAGGCUUUAGCAGAAUAAGAGCAAAAUGUGCCACAGCGGAAGGUGAAGGAUAACACA